AUCCAGACUCCUACGGGAGGCAGCAGUGAGGAAUAUUGGUCAAUGGUCGGGAGACUGAACCAGCCAAGCCGCGUGAGGGAGGAAGGUACAGAGUAUCGUAAACCUCUUUUGUCAGGGAACAAAGGCGGGGACGUGUCCCCGGAUGAGUGUACCUGAAGAAAAAGCAUCGGCUAACUCCGUGCCAGCGGCCGCGGUAAUACGGAGGAUGCGAGCGUUAUCCGGAUUUAUUGGGUUUAAAGGGUGCGUAGGCGGAGUGUCAAGUCAGCGGUAAAAUUUCGGGGCUCAACCCCGUCGUGCCGUUGAAACUGACACCCUUGAGUGAGUGAGAAGUAAGCGGAAUGCGUGGUGUAGCGGUGAAAUGCAUAGAUAUCACGCAGAACGCCGAUUGCGAAGGCAGCUUGCCGGCGCUCAACUGACGCUGAGGCACGAAAGUGCGGGUAUCGAUCAGGAUUAGAUACCCCUGUAUG
rnacentral:rRNA from 1 species